AGUGAACGCUGGCGGUAGGCCUAACACAUGCACGUCGAACGGAGUGGCGGACGGGUGCGGAAUACAUCGGACUCUACUCUGUCGUGGGGGGUAACGUAGGGAAACUUACGCUAAUACCGCAUACUAUCAGAUGAGCAUAGGUCGGAUUAGCUAGUUGGUGGGGUAAAGGCCUACCAAGGCGACGAUCCGUAACUGGUCUGAGAGGAUGAUCAGUCACACUGGAACUGAGACACGGUCCAGACUCCUACGGGAGGCAGCAGUGGGGAAUAUUGCACAAUGGGCGCAAGCCUGAUGCAGCCAUGCCGCGUGUAUGAAGAAGGCCUUCGGGUUGUAAAGUACUUUCAGCGGGGAGGCGUUACCCGCAGAAGAAGCACCGACUAACUCCGUGCCAGCCGCCGCGGUAAUAC
rnacentral:rRNA from 1 species